GAUGUGGGGGAGCGGAGCACUUCCCCGGAGCCAGGGAGCCCGCGCCAGGCCGCAGCCACCGUCCCCUGGCCCCAGCUCCCGGGCCCUGGUCCCAGCCCCCGGCCUCCGCCCCUCAGCCCCUUUCGGUAAGUGUCCCACGCCGGACCGAGGCGGUGCGCUCACUGACCGAGGAGGGAGCAUUGGCUGGCAGGGCAUUUUCUAAAGACCCUAAUUCAGCAAAGCAAGUGAAGCAGCAGGUGUUUAAAGUGCUUUACUGAAUUGGAGCUCCAAUGAGAAAAGAAGAUGUAGCUGAGCCCAUUGUCAGCUAACAAGAGUGGAAGAUGAAGGGCCUGAUUUUGCUGGAAAUGCAAGGACCUGAAGUCAACCUUAGGAUGUUGUAAGUAGACCACUUAUAGUUUCAUUUUCUUCCUUCUCUCUUGGGGUAAUUGCAGGAUUUAAUUUAAUGUCAAUGGGAGUUACUUGACUGGGACAGGAAGACAAUUUUUCCCUGCCAGGGCAUCUUGUGACUCAGGGGUACCUUGUACGAGAUGCUUUCAAAAUGGUUACAUAGUAUUAAGUAAUCCUUAUUUCUCAGUUGCUAAAUUAUGUCUUUUAUGAAAUGACAUAAUUUAUUAAGUCAUUGUAUGUAGUUUUAUUAAAUGUCCACAUACAACUCAGCAGGCAACCCACUUCUUUUUACAGAUUAAAAAUCCCUGCAGCCACAUCCAUGUCAGUGGUGAACUUCACCUGUCCCUAGAAGGGGGGGAGGAGUGUUUCCAUCUAGCACACUUGUGUUGACCCAGUUUAAGCCUGCAGGUUGCUGAGCCACAAAAAUCAGUUUCCAGGGUUGUCUGGAAAUGCCAACACUACAUCUGUUUACUACCACCCAACCCCAGGGUGGCAAUUACAGGCACAGGGAGGUGGUUCAGUUAAAAAAACUCAAGGUCUAGGGCAGCUAACAGUUACUUUUUAAAGUAUAAAGCACAUAUAUUUGCAGCAAGAGAGGACACAGUCGGCUGGUAGAGAACAGGCUGCUUCCUCUUACUUCUUAGGGGCAAGAACAUACUGAACUUUUUAUAAAGAAGAAAAGUAUUCCCGGAGUAAAGUGUUGUGAAUAGGUCUGGACGGAGGAAGCAUGCACUGCAGACUAUGCCGGGCCAUAAAUAAUAGAGUUCAUUCAUCUCAACACAGAGAACUUUAAUUUAAUCUUCGCUCUUCCUUUGCAUGUGCCUAGAGCAGCGCUAGUGCUGGGGCCGUGCAGGGCUUGGGGCG